GGUGCAAUUAAUGUGGUGGAUAUAUAAGAUGUAAGUAUAUUAUAGGUUCAUGAAACCAAGGUCAAAACAAAGCCUUUGACAGGAGGCCGUAUCUUCUGAUGAAUGUAACAAGUGGCCUAGGUUGUUAUGAGUAACAUCAAGCACAAAAUCUUUUUGACUUUUUUGAGUUUGGAUCGAAUGCUACUCUACUUUUGCCUUUGGGUUGUGGCU
rnacentral:lncRNA from 1 species